CAUUAGUCUGGUAGGAAAAAUCAGGAGGGCAGUAGUCAUAAUGCAGGCAGGAGCUCAUUGCCAUUUUGAAUGGGCAUAGACUGUCCUAGUAGGACACCAAUUCUAGCCAAAGUUGCCCACGGGAACCACCCACCACUGCUUGCUUCGCUUGAAAGAAAACAAGGGCUGGGAGACAGCUGCCUCUGAUUUUACUUCUUGCCUUAGGAAGGUUCCAGCUAAUUUUGUGUAACAUAGUUGUGCCGGCUCUUCCAUGAAAAUUUUGUCUUUUUCUUUGUAGAAUCCUCAGUCCUUCAGAAAUAUUAAUUUCUAAACUGACUGUUCUGCUUAUACUUUCCCCUCUUUUUUGGUUAUUUAAUUCCUGUUAUAACACUCAAGGGCUGCUACUGGUCUUACAUUUAAUUUACUGCAUUUUAUUUUAUGAGAUUUCUGUGGCUUCUUGUUACAGGACUUUGUAUGAGAUUUUGUGGAGAGGUCCUGGUUAACUUUAAAGAACUCCUUGGGUUAGUUGGCUGAGAAUCAUUGGCUUUGGUUGGCUGCUGAGACUUGUGGGAGGACCAUUUGAAAGCGCCUACUUCUCCAAGGUACAAGCAGAACCACUUGCUAUCAGGACAAGCAAGCAUGCUGUUCUCCUAGAACACGCUGCACUUGACUUGAUGAGGCAGGAAGACUGAGAUGACAGCUAUACUUGAAUUCAUGCCAUUCCCACUGGUCACCAGUGACCACACCCUCCUAGGGUCUUGCUCUGUCACCCAGGCUGGAAUGCAAUGGCCCAAUCAUGGCUCACUGCAGCCUCAACUGCAGGGCUCAAGCGAUCUUCUCACCUCAGCCUCCUGAGUAGGCGGGACUACACGUAAGCACCCCGACGCCCAGCUGAUUUUCUUUAUUUUUAGUAGAGAUGGGAUCUCGCUAUGUUACCCAGGCUGGUCUCAAACUCCUGAGCUCAGCACAGUCCUCAUGCCUUGGCCUCCCAAAGUGCUGGGAUUAUAGGCAUGAGGCACCAUGCCUGGCUGAAAUUGUUUUGAAAUAAUUUGUUCAUAAGCCUGUCUUCUCCAGUAAAUUAUAUGCACUUCUAUGGGGGAUGUGUCAUUUCUCAUACAUUUAAAUCUCCCCAGUGUUCAUUAGGAGAGUCUGGCACUUAAUAUGUGCUCAUUGGAUGGCUGUUGAACAGAACCUAAACAAUGGCAUUUGACAUGACUUGAUUUAGGACAUAACUUUGGAAAAAACUGCUCUGUGUUCAACAAGGACUAGCCAAAAUGUAAAAUUGGAGAAAAUAACACUCUAGCCUUUUGAUAUCAUCCUCAGUGCCCCCAAACAACAUAGAGUUGAUUCCUAUUGCUGAAUCACCUACAGAAACCUCACCUCUGUUAUUAUAACAAUAGUGACAACAUAUUUGUUGAAUAAUUACUGUGUGCCAGGUCCUGUCUAAGUGCCUUAGAUGCAUUCAUUCACUUUAUCAUCAGAGGAGCAGCAACACUAUGUGUUCUUAUUGUUUUCAUUUUAUAUAUGUAGAAACUUAUAUAGAUGGAAACUUAUAUACCCUUCCCAAGGAGAUGGAUAUUACUUCCUCCAAAUCACAAAUCUAGUAUGUGACAGAGCACAGAUCCAACCCAGAAAAUCUAACUUCUGCAUCCAUGCUCUUAAUCACUACACCAUCUUUCCUCUUUGCACCGAACAGUUCUGCAGACAGCAGAUCCUUGAUGGGAAGUUGUGGUGAAAGGGGCAGUAGAGCCAGGUGGGCUCGAGGAACAGAAGAAAGGCAGUGCCCGGUGUCUGCUCUGGCUCCCUGUGGGUUGGGGCCAGUCUGAGUACUUCCCUCCCUGUGGCGUAUUUCUCAGUGUUGGUGACCAGACAUGGCUCUGCCCUAGCUCAAUGGAUUAGCCAGUGAUUUCAGUUAAAACCACCGGCACUACCAGCCAGGCUGGCUUUCCUUCCCCACACGCUCUUCUUCAAUUGAUGCAGACAUCAUUGAAAGAUGGCAUUAUGUGAGUAAUAUAGAAUACAAACAAGAAACGUUACAGCAUCUGAUAGAAUAGAAAGGCUGGCUUCAACCAGACCAGCUGGAGCUCAGUGAUGAUUGCUGCCACUUAAUCCCUAGAGGUACAGAGUUUUGUAGAAUUAAGGAUCAUCCUGAAACUGUUGUUGAAACAAGUCUCUCAGUAGUCCAGACUUUCUGUAGCCGCUUACUGAAAACAGGAAGAUAUUAUGAAAAGCCAUUGGAGGAAAGGGUGUCUGUGAAUGACUUCCAGCAGUGAAUGAAUCAUUAGUCAACCCUGGACAUAAAACUCUGCAUAUGCCCUGAGUUCUUUUCACUGAUAGCCCAAUUCGUGUUCUAAUCUUGUAUGUGGAAACCUGGGGAAACAGUGAAAGAUGCUCAUAAAACUUAGGCUUCUUCUUUGAAUGUGCUAUGAAAUAAGUGGAGUAUUUAGUCUACUUUCAUAGAAAUAAAUGGGCAAACAGAAGAAAGCAAUUCCAUUUCCAUAAUUUCCAUAUAGAUCUCCAUUUUGUAAACAGGUUGCUUUUCUAAAGGUCUAGUCUAACUCUAUGAUGAUUGUUAUGAAUUCAGAAAAAGUUUUCCCGAGAAAGAAUAUUGUAAGUGUGUAGAUAAGAUCCCAGGCUAACCCACUAAAGGUUUCAUAGAUACUAAACUGCUAUAUAUCUGUAAUGGAAAAAAGUAUAAAAUAAUCCUAUUGAAAUAUCCUGGUGAAAUUUAAUAAGUUAUUUAAAAGAAAAUACUUAAGAAAAUUCAGUUUUAAUUAAAAUCUUGCUUAGGGAAAUGAGGUUUUGGUGCAGAUAUUGAAGAGGGUUUCAAGGAACUGUUGAGGACUGUACAGAUUUAUAGCACAACUUCAACGUGUCCAGGUAUCCAGAAUUGUCAUUGAAACAUUGGUAGGUACUCAGUGAAUAUCUAUUAAAUGCAUGUUGAUUGAAUUUCAUCUUCCCUUCAAGAAGUAUGACUUUCCUUUAUCUUGACAUAAAAGCAUAAGGUUCUCUUUAGAAAACACUGAUAUUUUCCCCCAAUAUCGGAAAUCUAUUUGCCUCAUUUCUUGGUGUUUUAGGACGUUAGACAUUUUCAAAGAGAUUUGAUAAUUCAAUUUGUUUGACAAAUCUAGCCUCUUCUCUAUUAUCCAGUUUGAAAAGCCCUGAGUGCAUGGCUGUGCCCCAUAGAAAUCUCUAGGACAAACUGUUUUUUUUUCUCUGUUUAUAUUUGAUCACAGGACUGACUCUGUUGGAGAUGUAAUGGAUAUUCACACUUACUAAGCAUUAGCACAACCGUAUUGACAAUAACCAAAGCAGGCAGAGGCCCAAGCAUAACUCAGUCUACCAGACAGAUUCCUAUCCUACAUAUUCAAGUUGCAAUAAAAAUGAAAGAUUGGGAAAUUUGAAGCUAAAAUGUUUCCUCUUGCCUUUAACCACAGAGCUGCAACACUAUGCAUUUUUAAGAGUGAAAAACAGCCUCCUGUUCAUCACUGUAGUUAAGUAUAUGUUUUCCUUUCCUCCAGCAUCCUAACAGACCUGCAUUUUGCUAAUCCCUAAUAGCAGCAGUGAUACCUAGGUUCAACAGGAGCAUUUUUACUAUUCUCUACCUAAGUGAGAAAUUUAACAUUUUAUGUAUAAUAAAGGGACCCGAUAUCCAGGUUUGCCUGGGACACUUCUGAUGUACGCCUGUUGUACUGGUGUAAUUAUUAAUAAUUUCAAGAUGGAGUCUCACUCUGUCAUCCAGGCUG